CUGCUAUUGGUGAACGAUUCCCAUGAAAAUCAGGCCACACAUGAAGAUCUUUUGUUAAAAAGUUUACAUCACUUAAUCUUCUGGACUUAGCCAUCCCUUGAAGUAAUUUUCGUAAAUGCAUCCUUAAGCUGUAAAAUAUGAGAUACAUUACAAUUGAAGUGUGUUCAUCAGAAGUUCCAGAAAAUAAACCAUUGGCUCUGAAGUCUUACUUAUUUCAUGAGGCCCUUAUGGAUAAAAUACAGCAACUUCAUGGUGAUUUUGGUAUUGCUGCUGUUAGAACAGAAACAUCAAAGGAGCUAUUUAGAUUUAAUGUGGUCAAAGCUUAAGACUGAUGAUGAAAGAAAAGCACUAGAAGCAGCUGUUUUAGAUUUCACAAAAACAGAUGUGUCUCUGAAUAAAGAAGGCCUUUUAA